CCCGGGGUGGCUCAGUGGUUGAGCGUCUGACUUCAGCUCAGGUCGUGAUCCUGGGA
rnacentral:tRNA from 1 species